rnacentral:lncRNA from 1 species
GUAUUUCAUAUCAUAAGUGGAACCCAUCUCUCUUCAUAGUGGUAUUUUGACCUUUUUGACCAUAGCUCCGAAGAUGGCUUUAUAAGCCGAAAGCGCUCAGCUAAGAAUUAUUAAUUUUACACACUCCAAAAGUACACUUCUCUCCCUUUUACCUG